CAGUGCGCUACAGCCGGCCCCUUCCCCCAGCGCACCUCCACCGGCCCCUCCCCAGUGCGUCGCAGUCGGCCCCUCCCCCAGCGCGCCUCUGUCGUCCCCCUACUCCAGCAUGCCGCCGCCCCCCCUGCCCCAGCACGCCACCACAACGACCUCCCGUUCCCAGUGCGCUGCCGCAGGCCCCCUGCCCCAGCGGCCACAGCCACGACCUCCCUACCCUAGUGCGGAGCCGCCUAGCCCCUGCCUCCGAGCGUCACUGGUCUUCGCGCACAACUAUCCCACUGCUGCCUGACGAGCCAACUUCAUAAAUGAGGCUAGCCACGGUGGUCGAUCAGCGAGGGAUGGCCGGUCCUUGCCACCGGCGGCCGCACUCCUGACGUGUCCCGAGCGAUUGCGCCCAUAGAGGUUUGCUCCCAUCAUCCUCCUCCUCCUAGAUUAUGAUGGAAAUGGCGACAACAUCUAGUAGGUCCUCCUGUGCCUUUGCUCGCCCCGCUUUCACCACCGGCCAGCCUUGCAAAUCCAUGUAAUAAAUUUCAGGUAAAAUGUGGAUCCCUGUACAAAGUUCAGCUAAGUUCAGUACAAAAAGUUCAACUAAUUUCUGGCAAUGUUUAAGUUGAGUUCAGUGAAAAUUCAAUCUCAGUUCAGUCAAAAAAAUUAAGACAAAAGUUGCAUAAAGCCCAUUCUGCUUGCGCUGGUGCACUCCCGCUAUUUGUUGCUGCAGCAGGGUGAUGUGAGUGAGAGAGAGAGAGAGAGAGAGAGAGAGAGAGAUGGAAAAAUGGAAUGAUCUUCCACAUUGACUAACUCGUGCCACACUCGGUUCAGUUUCUUGAUUUAGUCCAAUUCAAUUCCUAAUUUUGGUUCAGUUCAAUGACUGCUAUCUCUCUUAGUUUUGAUGUUUAAUUACAAAGUCUAUGUACAUUAACAGCAAAUAAGUUCAAGUAUAUCAAUAAAUGGAAGUUUAGGUAUAUGGAAUUUGAUGCUUGUUGGGUGUAUACAUGAGUAUAAAUGGAUUUUCUUCUUGUUGAACGAAGUUGAACUUGUCGUUAUGCGUCACGGCCGGGGGUGGGAGGCGUGCGGCGGCCGGAGGUGGGAGGGGCACGGCAGUCGGGGGUGGGAGCCUCCCUGUGCAGCUGUGGAGUUCGUCCUGGCUGAUCUGCUUUGGCCGUUCAACUUUGCGUCUUCCGCUCGGCCAGCGCUCAACGAGGAGCCCCCCGGUCUCGCUCGUGUGUGGAGUUUGGAGUAUAUUCUAUGGAUGUGUUCUGCUCUCCUCUAUUUUCAACUGAACGUGCUGCCAUGUGUGGAUUUCCCCUCUAACUCCACAACAAGUUGAAUCCCAAAAAUUAUAAUGGUAAGUGCAAGAUUCAGUACUGUCCAUUUUGAUUUUCUAUAAAAAGGCCAAUCUUUGUUGUUGCUUCACAUACACUAGUAUAUGGGAGUACUAGAAUCCAUCCACGGAACAAUCAAGAAACCAUAGAUAUCAGCCCACCACUGUGUUGCGGAUGUGAUCUUUGUGUGCUUUUGAGUACUGUAAAACAAUAGUAUGCUUCUGGUUGCUGCUUGCUUCCACUGCCAACUUGUGUAAGUGCAAAAAGUUUCAUAUCGCAAGUUCAAAGAGGGUUGUAUGCAAGUUCAGAAGUUUGUUUGGAGCAUCUUUAGGUGUUUUUUGUAAUGUAGUAAAUAGUUUUUAAUACUGAAAACAAACCUAGUGAAAAAAUUGUCCAAGCGACCAUCAUUCUUGCCUCCUAACCCCCGCCGUCAGGUCGCGGUCUCUUCUGCCGUUAGGUCGCAGCCUCUUCCGCUGUCAGGUCACAACCUCUUCCUUAUGCAGGUUGCCUCCUUGUACUGCUGCAGGCCAUGCCUCAUCCCCCAUUCUCGUGUGGUCGCCAACGAGGUAUCCUACUACAAUGGUGGUCACCGCCCCAGAACUCUCUCCGGUUCAUUUUGAUCUACUUUUGCACAAUUGUUCUUUAUUUCACGAAUUUUGUUAUGGAGGAGGUGACCAAUUGUUGAUCCUGAAGUUUCAUCGCAAGAUUUUUUGUCUCUGAAUUUUGCGCCAAUUCUUGAUCAUGAAGCAUCAAUGCUUGAGCACUGGUUUUACAUGUCUUUUACCUCCUUGUGGUAAUGUGAUCAUGUUCAGAUUUUGCUUCAGUAUUUCUCUAUAAGAUAAAACAUAAAGGAAUCAAGUGUAUAGAUAAAUAAGUUCAGUACAUGGAUUUUUGGUUUGGUCAAUCUGUUAUCUAUGGAUUUUAUUUGGCCUAGAUUGCUAGGUGUAUAUCUUGUUGUGCCAAGCCAAUCAAAAACAAAAGUGUUGCUACUCUAAUUCACCCCCGACACCUCGACAGUCACCAGGCGUGACGCACCUCCUCCCAAAGAGGUGCACGCCUCCCCGCACCUCCUGCUGGCGACGUGACCACUUCUCGUGGCAAUGCGCCAUGUGUGGACCAUGUUCCGAUGUCGCCCUCCGCGCCUCAGCGCACAGGCCGUUCAACUCCGUCACCUGAGGCCAUUCACCUCCGCCACGGACGAGGUCAGUUCGACUUCACUUACUACACCUAUUGCCACUGAAAACUGAAAUUUGAUUAUUGCCACUGAUUUCUUGUAGUGCCUUCCAUGAAAUAACCUGACAAAAUAAUACUGGACAUUGUGCACUAAGCUGAAGAAGUGUUGUCAGUACAUUGAUUUUUGUAAAAUAUCGUCAAUUCAUGAAAAAAGCAAAAACACAAAUAGACAUUGUUCUCCUGUCCGUUCGCUAUGUAUUCUAUCAUCAUUUCAAAGAUAAGAAAUUCCCUUUUCUUCAAUAUGUAUUGUAUCGUCAGUUCGGUGUGUAUUUUUGUUCUUUGUUCUCCAGUACACAGAGAAGAAAAUAUCGUCAGUGCAUGAAAAGAGAAUUUCUAUACUAAACUCAGUAUUAGUUUGGUGUGUAUUCUGUUGUCAGUUUGGUGUGUAUAUUUAUUCAUUCUCAUAAUUUUAUAAAAUCGCAUGCACUCUCUGUAAAGCUAAAUUCAGUUAAAAAGGUUCAUUUUGUAAAAUGAGUAGACCUAGCACACGGGACAUGGCAAGGAUCCCUCCGUUCAUGAACAUGACUGACUGACUGGUACCUCACUUUUCCAACACAUGCACACAUACUGGUUUGAAAGGAAAAAAUUGUUUUAAUUAAAAACAAUGACCAGUAUGAAUUAAAAACAAUGAUCAAUUCGAAAUAAAAGAAAUGAUUAGUUCAAAUAAAAAAUGCCAGUGCAUCGUCCCUCCACCACGCGGCCUCCGUCGUCGCGGUCCGCCCGGUGACGUUCACCGUCAUCCAUGGUGGCCUGCGACCCCACCGCAGCCACCCGUCCUCGAACGCCCUCACCAACGCCUUCAGUUCAAUCCACCUCCCCUUUCUGAAAAUCUUUUCCUUCAGUUCCACCGUACCUAGAAAAUUAGUUCAAUCCAUAUCCCUAUUUUUGAAAACACGUACACCCUUAUUUCGAUCUAGGAGAACGGCCAUUUUCUGGAGGAUUUUUUUCACUAGUGUCCUGUUUUGUUGUCAAUGCUAUCUAAUUUCAGCAGUGUCAUGUUUUGCUGUCGAUCCCGUCCUCGACAUCCACGAGCGCGAGCACCCUAUGUCCGGUAGCGAGAUGAAGGCCACCCGUGAUCCCUGCUACCCGUGAUCACUUCCACCUGGUGUGAGUUUGCUGCCCAGAACAAGCACGGCCAACUACAGUUCCCGUUGGUCGCCUUGGCCACCCUCAGUAAGAAAUCAAGAUUGUAAUAUGUAGGCGCAAGAACAUGAAUCCCUAUUUGAAAUGAGUACUCUUUUGUUUCAGCCAAUACUUCUUACUUUAAAUUCCACAAGUGGAUGCAUAUAAGAACAAUUUAGUAGACUAGUAGUGGUACAUCAGUAUGUAAAGGACGAUGUAAUUAACACAACCUCAAUGAUUGUAGUAUUUUUUUAGGAUUGAGCUUUGGCUUAGUUUGUUAGGUAUAGUUAAAGAGUAUCUAUUGAAUUUAUUUAGAGGCCUACUGUUUAGAAGUUUGAUGAAUUGUACACUCAUCAGUCUGUGUGUGUGUGUGUGUUGUUAUUUAGUUCCAGUGGAUGUGCGUGACAAAUCACUUUACUUUCUCAGUUCAGCUAGUCUUCCUCUUUAAGUUUGGGCUUCGCUCACCUGUUCGUGCUUGACAAAAUCGAGCUCUUCCAUGGUUCACAGUCCAACUGCUAGCCCCGCCUCUGGUCGCUCAAAGAAUCGCGUCUAGGCCACCUCGUGCUCCAUAGCUGUAUCCGGCGGGGCUGCUCAUGCGACGACCUCCUCUUCCAGGAUGCCGAAAAACAGGAUGCAACAUUUAUGAAGAAAGAGAUGAAUUUAGAGGAAGAUGCAACACUGGAACGUAGAAGACUCAGUUUACAAAAAAAACUGAAAAAAUAGCAGGAAUAGGAAGCAGUUUCCAAAAAUGAAGAUGGAGAUGUGUGCAUGUAUACAUGUGUUCUGGACUUAUAUGGUGGUGUGUGCAUGCUACUAUAUCCUCUUCUAGCCACUCUAAUCUACACCCUCAGUACAAGCCGAUGCAUCGCCCAGGUACUGUAACGCCCCGAGACCGACGCUCCAGAAGACUUC